rnacentral:tRNA from 10 species
AGGGGUAUAGUUUAAUGGUAAAACGAAGGUCUCCAAAACCUUUGAUGUGGGUUCGAUUCCUGCUACCCCUGCCA